ACUCCUACGGGAGGCAGCAGUGGGAAUAUUGCACAAUGGGCGCAAGCCUGAUGCCAGCCAUGCCGCGUGUGUAGAAGAAGGGCCUUCGGGUUGAUAAAGCACUUUUCAGUUGUGAGGAAGGUGGUGUCGUUAAUAGCGGCAUCAUUUGACGUUAGCAACAGAAGAAGCACCGGCUAACGUCCGUGCCAGCAGCCGCGGUAAUACGGAGGGUGCGAGCGUUAAUCGGAAUUACUGGGCGUAAAGCGCAUGCAGGUGGUUUGUUAAGUCAGAUGUGAAAGCCCGGGGCUCAACCUCGGAACUGCAUUUGAAACUGGCAGACUAGAGUACUGUAGAGGGGGUAGAAUUUCAGGUGUAGCGGUGAAAUGCGUAGAGAUCUGAAGGAAUACCGGUGGCGAAGGCGGCCCCCUGGACAGAUACUGACACUCAGAUGCGAAAGCGUGGGGAGCAAACAGGAUUAGCUA
rnacentral:rRNA from 1 species